rnacentral:rRNA from 1 species
UACGUAGGCAGCGAGCGUUGUUCGGAGUUACUGGGCGUAAAGGGUGUGUAGGCGGUCCUCUAAGUUUGGUGUGAAAUCUCCCGGCUCAACCGGGAGGGUGCGCCGAAAACUGGAGGGCUAGAGUGCGGGAAGGGAGAGUGGAAUUCCUGGUGUAGCGGUGAAAUGCGUAGAUAUCAGGAGGAACACCGGUGGUGUAGACGGCGUUCUGGACUGUUUCUGACACUGUAAAACGAAAGCCAGGGGAGCAAACGGG